AGAGUUUGAUCCUGGCUCAGAUUGAACGCUGGCGGCAUGCCUUACACAUGCAAGUCGAACGGUAACAGGUCUUCGGAUGCUGACGAGUGGCGAACGGGUGAGUAAUACAUCGGAACGUGCCCGAGAGUGGGGGAUAACGGAGCGAAAGCUUUGCUAAUACCGCAUACGAUCUACGGAUGAAAGCAGGGGACCGCAAGGCCUUGCGCUCAUGGAGCGGCCGAUGGCAGAUUAGGUAGUUGGUGGGAUAAAAGCUUACCAAGCCGACGAUCUGUAGCUGGUCUGAGAGGACGACCAGCCACACUGGGACUGAGACACGGCCCAGACUCCUACGGGAGGCAGCAGUGGGGAAUUUUGGACAAUGGGCGCAAGCCUGAUCCAGCCAUGCCGCGUGCAGGAUGAAGGCCUUCGGGUUGU
rnacentral:rRNA from 1 species